rnacentral:rRNA from 1 species
GUCAGCUCGUGUCGUGAGAUGUUGGGUUAAGUCCCGCAACGAGCGCAACCCUUGAUCUUAGUUGCCAGCAUUUCGGAUGGGCACUCUAAGGUGACUGCCGGUGACAAACCGGAGGAAGGUGGGGAUGACGUCAAAUCAUCAUGCCCCUUAUGACCUGGGCUACACACGUACUACAAUGGCCGGUACAACGGGCCGCGAAGCCGCGAGGUGGAGCUAAUCCUAAAAAGCCGGUCUCAGUUCGGAUUGUAGGCUGCAACUCGCCUACAUGAAGUCGGAAUUGCUAGUAAUCGCGGAUCAGCAUGCCGCGGU